rnacentral:rRNA from 1 species
UACGUAGGCAGCGAGCGUUGUUCGGAGUUACUGGGCGUAAAGAGUGCGUAGGCGGUGCUCCAAGUCUGGUGUGAAAUCUCCCGCUUAACCGGGAGGGUGCGCCGGAAACUGGGGGUGCUGGAGUGUGGGAGAGGUAAGCGGAAUUCCCGGUGUAGCGGUGAAAUGCGCAGAUAUCAGGAGGAACACCAAUGGCGAAGGCAGCUCGCUGGGACGGUACUGACGCUGAGACGCGAAAGCGUGGGGAGCAAACAGG